UACAGAGGUCCCAAGCGUUGUUCGGAUUCACUGGGCGUAAAGGGUGCGUAGGCGGUCAUUUAAGUCUGACGUGAAAUCUCCGGGCCUAACCCGGAAACUGCGUUGGAAACUAUCUGACUAGAGGAAUGGAGGGGAGACUGGAAUAAUUGGUGUAGAGAUGAAAUGUUUUGAUACCUUUAGGACGGGUAAUGGCGAAGGCAAACCUUUAUGUGAAAACUGACGUUGAGGGACGAAGGCUUGGGAAG
rnacentral:rRNA from 1 species